CUUUUUUUGUAAUUAUUGAAAAUAUAACCUGCCCACUGAUAAUAAUUGAAGGGCUGCGGUAAUUUGACCGUACAAAGGUAGCAUAAUCAUUAGUUUUUUAAUUGGGGGCUGGAAUGAAUGGUUGGACGAGAUAUAAACUAUUUAUAAUUAAUUAUCUUUGAAUUUAAUUUUUUAGUUAAAAAGCUUAAAUUUUAAUAUGGGACGAGAAGACCCUAUAGAGUUUAAUAAUUUAUAAAAAAUUAAAGUUAGAUAUAUUGUAUUUAUAUUAAAUUAUUUUGUUGGGGUGAUAGAAAAAUAGAUGUAACUUUUUUUUUAUUUUAAUAUUGAUAAGUAGAUAUAUGAUCCGUAUUUUACGAUAAAAAGACUAAAUUACCUUAGGGAUAACAGCGUAAUUUUUUUUGAAAGUUCAUAUUGACAAGAGUGAUUGCGACCUCGAUGUUGGAUUAAGAUAAAUUAUUGGUGAAGAAGUUAAUUAAUUAGGUCUGUUCGACCUUUAAAAUCUUACGUGAUCUGAGUUCA
rnacentral:rRNA from 1 species